CCUACGGGUGGCAGCAGUGGGGAAUAUUGCACAAUGGGCGAAAGCCUGAUGCAGCAACGCCGCGUGAAGGAAGAAGGUUUUCGGCUCGUAAACUUCUAUCAACAGGGACGAAAGAAAUGACGGUACCUGAAUACGAAGCCUCGGCUAACUACGUGCCAGCAGCCGCUGUAAUACGUAGGGGGCAAGCAUUAUGCGGAAUUUAUGGGUGUAAAGGGUGAGUAGGCGGCAUGGUAAGCCAGAUGGUAAAGCCUUGGGCUUAACCCGAGGAUUGCAUUUGGAACUAUCAAGCUAGAGUACAGGAGAGGAAAGCGGAAUGCCUAGUGUAGCGGUGAAAUGCGGAGAUAUUAGGAAGAACACCAGUGGCGAAGGCGGCUUACUGGACUGAAACUGACGCUGAUGCACGAAAGUGUGGGGAGCGAACAGGAUUAGAUACCCGGGUAGUC
rnacentral:rRNA from 1 species